ACCUGGAACUGGCAAGGAACAAAGAAAAAAUAUCACCAUGAAAUUUGCGAUCUUCCUCCUCUGUCUGAUUCCCCUGGCUCUUGGCGAGAAGAGGUUUCUCCAUAGACAGCAUCCUGGAUACGUCUGAGAUUGGAAAGCUGGUCAGCUCGGUGAUCGCAAAGUUCGGGUCUGACGCCAGUGAGCAACAGUGUGAAGCCGAGUGCCUGACCCUGUUCAAGAGCGACAUCCUCGACUCUGCUUGCGACUUCGCCUGCAAAGGAAUCCAGACACUCAUCCAAAAGGUUCCCCACCAAGACCUAGCCACCACCUCGUCCGCAUAAAUUGAUCUCUACACCUGAAUAAACUUAAAUGGUCUGUU